rnacentral:ncRNA from 1 species
AUAGUUAUGCAAUAGUAACUCAAUCUAGCAAGAGAGGAACGUUGAUUUACAUAAUUGAUCAUUGAUGCUUGAAAAUUUAGUGGCAUGAAGCUACCAUACACUGGACUAUGAUUGAAUACCUCUAAGUCAGAAUAUAGAUUAGAAGCAACGCAUGUUCCCAUUGUCCACUUGUCGACGCACAGUAGUAACCUUUGGCCCUCAGGGCACGUAUCGUUGGUUAAGUCGUUGUGACAGAAGGGCAACAAUAACCUUGAAAUAUAGUUUCAUCGAGCAAUGAGUAGAAUUCUUUGUAGAUGACUUAGAUACGCGACGUGAUACUAUAAGUGGCAAAGUGGCGUUGCUAUCACGAUCCAUCGAGAUUCAGCCCUUUGUCAUGCCAAUUC